AUGCACGCUGGCGGCGUGCCUAAUACAUGCAAGUCGAGCGAACAGACGAGGAGCUUGCUCCUCUGACGUUAGCGGCGGCCGGGUGAGUAACACGUGGAUAACCUACCUAUAAGACUGGGAUAACUUCGGGAAACCGGAGCUAAUACCGGAUAAUAUAUUGAACCGCAUGGUUCAAUAGUGAAAGACGGUUUUGCUGUCACUUAUAGAUGGAUCCGCGCCGCAUUAGCUAGUUGGUAAGGUAACGGCUUACCAAGGCAACGAUGCGUAGCCGACCUGAGAGGGUGAUCGGCCACACUGGAACUGAGACACGGUCCAGACUCCUACGGGAGGCAGCAGUAGGGAAUCUUCCGCAAUGGGCGAAAGCCUGACGGAGCAACGCCGCGUGAGUGAUGAAGGUCUUCGGAUCGUAAAACUCUGUUAUUAGGGAAGAACAAAUGUGUAAGUAACUAUGCACGUCUUGACGGUACCUAAUCAGAAAGCCACGGCUAACUACGUG
rnacentral:rRNA from 1 species